UACGGAGGGGGCUAGCGUUGUUCGGAAUUACUGGGCGUAAAGCGCACGUAGGCGGCUUUGUAAGUUAGAGGUGAAAGCCCAGGGCUCAACCCUGGAAUUGCCUUUAAGACUGCAUCGCUAGAAUUGUGGAGAGGUAAGUGGAAUUCCGAGUGUAGAGGUGAAAUUCGUAGAUAUUAGGAAGAACACCGGUGGCGAAGGCGGCCCACUGGAUCGGUACUGACGCUGAGGUGCGAAAGCGUGGGGAGCAAACAGG
rnacentral:rRNA from 1 species